rnacentral:rRNA from 1 species
ACACUCCUGCGGGAGGCAGCAGUGGGGAAUAUUGCACAAUGGGCGCAAGCCUGAUGCAGCCAUGCCGCGUGUAUGAAGAAGGCCUUCGGGUUGUAAAGUACUUUCAGCGGGGAGGAAGGCGAUAAGGUUAAUAACCUUGUCGAUUGACGUUACCCGCAGAAGAAGCACCGGCUAACUCCGUGCCAGCAGCCGCGGUAAUACGGAGGGUGCAAGCGUUAAUCGGAAUUACUGGGCGUAAAGCGCACGCAGGCGGUCUGUCAAGUCGGAUGUGAAAUCCCCGGGCUCAACCUGGGAACUGCAUUCGAAACUGGCAGGCUAGAGUCUUGUAGAGGGGGGUAGAAUUCCAGGUGUAGCGGUGAAAUGCGUAGAGAUCUGGAGGAAUACCGGUGGCGAAGGCGGCCCCCUGGACAAAGACUGACGCUCAGGUGCGAAAGCGUGGGGAGCAAACAGGAUUAGAAACCCGAGUAGUCC